rnacentral:rRNA from 1 species
AGAGUUUGAUCAUGGCUCAGGACGAACGCUGGCGGCGUGCUUAACACAUGCAAGUCGAACGGUGAACCUGCUUCGGUGGGGGAUCAGUGGCGAACGGGUGAGUAACACGUGGGCAACCUGCCCCCGGCUCUGGGAUAACUCCAAGAAAUUGGGGCUAAUACCGGAUGUGACCGCUGGCCGCAUGGUCUGGUGGUGGAAAGGGUUUCCGGCUGGGGAUGGGCCCGCGGCCUAUCAGCUUGUUGGUGGGGUAGUGGCCUACCAAGGCGACGACGGGUAGCCGGCCUGAGAGGGUGACCGGCCACACUGGGACUGAGACACGGCCCAGACUCCUACGGGAGGCAGCAGUGGGGAAUAUUGCGCAAUGGGCGAAAGCCUGACGCAGCGACGCCGCGUGGGGGAUGACGGCCUUCGGGUUGUAAACCUCUUUCAGCAGGGACGAAGCGGAAGUGACGGUACCUGCAGAAGAAGCACCGGCCAACUACGUGCCAGCAGCCGCGGUAAUACGUAGGGUGCAAGCGUUGUCCGGAAUUAUUGGGCGUAAAGAGCUCGUAGGCGGUUCGUCGCGUCGGCUGUGAAAUCCCGAGGCUCAACCUCGGGUCUGCAGUCGAUACGGGCGGACUUGAGUUCGGCAGGGGAGACUGGAAUUCCUGGUGUAGCGGUGAAAUGCGCAGAUAUCAGGAGGAACACCGGUGGCGAAGGCGGGUCUCUGGGCCGAUACUGACGCUGAGGAGCGAAAGCGUGGGGAGCGAACAGGAUUAGAUACCCUAGUAGUCC